CAUGUUAAACAUUAACCCUUCUUAUCAGUUACCUGAUAAUCAUUGGGUCUUCUUUUACGUUUCCUGCUAGGUUUUUCAGCCUAAAUUUACAAUUGCGUCACUCUUAACUGGCACACAAUUUGCUUGCUGCAUUGCCAUCUGACCACCUCCAACACUUUCCUGAUUACAAGCUCAUAAAAAUUACAAAAUGAUCCAUAUGGUGUAGACAUGUCAUGUCACCAGAACCAUAUAACUUGGUGUAUAAUUUAUUGAGAUGCAUCUCAAGGGCAGUUUCUCAUUGAAUAUGUUGGAGAGGUGAAGAAUGUUCUACAUAUCUUAAGAUUUUCUUUACACCUGUCUUCAGAAAUUGGAAAUUGAUGAACAUGCGUAAAAAUUAAGAAUUACUUGCACAAAUUAAUGAACUUUCCUUAUGAACUCAUGUUAUUACCUAGCAGCAUGCUGUCUGACCUUUCUCUGUUAAGCUUGUUCCACUUUUGACAACUUCCUUGCCAACGGAAUCUAUGUUGAUGUUUUCUUUCAUUAUUAAGGUGCUUGAUUUAUCGACCUAUGAAGCCCGACACGAAUGACAAGGGUUUUAAAUUAAACAUGUAUUUUAUAAUUGAGUAUACACCCAAAAAAACAUAUGCAUAUAUAAUAUAUUCAAAAAGUGUCCAAGAAGCUUGGGUGCAAGUACGCAUAUGGGUACACUUCAGAUAAAACGACAAAGGUUAGGUUGUAUUCUCUUCUUGAAUUAUGAUUAGCCUUUCUGGAACGAUUAACACCAUAGGCGUCCAUCUGUUAAUUUGAUGGGACGUGUUUCUAGGUUUUAGCUAGCUUGUAUUUUAGUGUUCCGUGCAAUCCAAUGUAGCAAACUUUGCCUAUCCCUGAGUCUGGAAAUUUUCCUUAGAUCAGAGGAAUGAAUUUUGUGUGUGGUCUGUUUCCAAAACUAGAACGAUUGGCAUGGUAGAUGCCUACGCUUACCAGAGAAACUCUUUUUUUAGUAGCCUUGGCUAUGAAGUUAACUCUCAUGCUAAAGAUUCUAUGCUAGAUUGAAGAUGUCCAUAGAAAUCAGAGCUUCAUGACCCUGUAUAUCCAUGAUGUCUGACCUUGUUUCAAUAGAGAAAGGGCAACAUGAUGAUGAUAAAAACACCGAGAUGACAACUUAAACAGCAACCAAAAAAAAGAGAGGAAAAAAAGAAAGGAAAUAAAAAAGAAAAAGAAAAGGAAAAUGAUCUUAUCCCAAAACUAAGAAGAAAAUUGGAGCUGUUAUUAUUGUUAUUGUUAUUAUUACUUUUGAGCUAUUACUCUUUCCUUUUGAGUGUUUUGAGUCAAUUAUAAAUUUACUAAUUAUUUAGGCAAGUUAUGUUUUAUUGUGUGUGUGGCUAAUUAAAAUUGAUUAAACUGAAGUAUCUCAUUGUAUUUAUUUGUAUGUUACUUCAGUAUAGUUAUCAACUAAUAUUGAAAUUCUUUGUCAUUAUCUUCAUAUAUCUUCUGUCAAUUUGAACCUUCUAAUUCCUAUUCCUCCGUUUGCACUUGUUUUUGAAGGUGAAGAGGCGAAUAUUGCAAUAGUAAUCACUUUCAUGCAGCACGAGUCAAUGUGGACAAGCUUGAUAGUUUUAGCUUGGGCUUGCCAGCUUAGGCACAUUGUGCAAACGGAGGAAUAGUAAUAUGAAGCAAAAGGAAGAAUUAUGCACCAUAUGAGGCAGAGAAACAUAACAGACGGGAUCAAGCAACGAAUUUGAUCAAGCAAAUUGUAUUUCUUUUUUUUUCCUUUAUGGAUUACAAGCAAACUAGAAUAUUUAAUUAGGCCUUUGAGUAUUGACUUGGAAAUGGAAAUGAAUGUAACUAAUUUGUAAUGUGAGUAAAUUCUUUGUUUAUCAUAAUAAGCAACGUGUUUGGAGUAUAA